rnacentral:rRNA from 1 species
UACGGGGGGGGCAAGCGUUGUUCGGAAUUACUGGGCGUAAAGGGCGCGUAGGCGGUCCGCUAAGUUGGAUGUGAAAACUCUGGGCUUAACCCAGAGCCUGCAUUCAAAACUGACGGGCUAGAGUUCUGGAGGGGGUAGCGGAAUUCCUGGUGUAGCGGUGAAAUGCGUAGAGAUCCGGAGGAACACCAGUGGCGAAGGCGACACGCUGGGCCGUACCUGACGCUAAGGAGCGAAAGCGUGGGGAGCAAACAGG